CUCAAGGACAAAAUAUCUCUCAUUACACGAACCCCAAUUUUUAUUUUUCUCAACUUGUGUCCAAAACAAAUCAGCCAAGAUGAAUGCAGAAAAUUUAGGUUACUUGUGAUGAAAUUGGAUAAUGCAGAGGUAGCGUCUUUUGACUUGUUCAAAGGCCUUGCGUGAAAUGCAAACAGUAGUGCCCUAAAGAGUUUCGUUAACAUGUUUGAACAGGGAAGGACUUUCACUGCACUCACGAACCUCAACUGUCAUUCCGGGACAUGUUUUUUCAUGUCCAGACAAACACAUCACACCACGCCUGAGGUUUUGUUUUAAACGCAGAUGAAAAAUCCUGCAUGAGGCUCUCUCAGAUUAAGUGGCUCUAAUACUGCAGAAAGCUUCCCCUGGAUUUAAAAAAAACAACAACAAAAAACCUUCACCUUGUGUUCAGAAGAACACCAUGUUAAAAAGAAGCAUUUUCUCCUCUGCUGUGAGGACACGUGUUUUCAACUGGUUUUCCAUCAUGUGGUUUACUAUGACAGUCGCCACGACAGGAUCUGCGCUGGUUUCACUUUGAAUACUGUACUAAAUCCAUUGAGCUGCAGAUGGCAGUAGUGGGAUACAUACAUUAUGUUUGAUGAAGAUAAGGACACAUUACAUGACAUAACUGGCCUAAAUUCUCCUUUAAAUGUGAUCUGAAGAGGGCUGUUCAAGAUCGUCAAGAAAUACCCUCAAAAUCUGGCACAGUUUUUGCCUCCAAAAAGAGCGACCAAGUAAUGACAAUGUAUCAUGCAUGAAAAUGACUGGUUGCUUCAAUAUAAUAUGAAGAACAGAGGGGAAAAAAGGAUGUCAGAGUGAAAGGGGCCCACAAACACUGUCAAACUAGUUUUAGUUCAAGGGCCACGUUCACCACAGUUUGAUCUCAAGUGGGCCGGAGCAGUAUAUUCAUGGCCAAAUAUAAACUAUAAACAACGACUAUUCCACAUUUUCCUAUUGUUUUUGUGCAAAAACAAUUACAAGUACAUUCUGUAAAUAUUCACAUUUACAGUAUUGAUUUUGAUCUUAUUGCAAAUCAUAACAGCAAUCUGAAAUUUCUUAACAAAAAUAGUGCAAUAUCAGCAAUAUUAUGAAUGAGACCCCCAUGGAUAAAAUUAGCAAACAACAGUUAAUUUUAUUGAAAAAUUGCAGUUAAGGUGUUCUCUAACUUUGCAACACUUUGCAAAAAUCAUCCUCACAGGCCGGUUUGGACGGCUUGAUAGGCGGGUUAUGAACCACGGGCCGUACAUUUGACAUCCAUGCACUGGGAGGAUGAGGACAAGAUGCCCUUGAGCAAGGCCCAGCUCAAUAGGUGUGGUACUCUUUGCUCACCCCUGUCACUGACAUCUCAAUUUACUUUGAUAAUCCAAAGGUGAAAAGGACAAAAUUCAAUUUGCAACAAACCAAAUGUACUCAUACUGUACCUCAAAAGGGCGGCACGGUGGCCGACUGGUUAGAGCGUCAGCCUCACAGUUCUGAGGACCCGGGUUCAAUCCCCGGCCCCGCCUGUGUGGAGUUUGCAUGUUCUCCCCGUGCCUGCGUGGGUUUUCUCCGGGCACUCCGGUUUCCUCCCACAUUCCAAAAACAUGCAUGAAUUGGAGACUCUAAAUUGCCCGUAGGCAUGACUGUGAGUGCGAAUGGUUGUUUGUUCCUAUGUGCCCUGCGAUUGGCUGGCAACCAGUUCAGGGUGUACCCCGCCUCCUGCCCGAUGACAGCUGGGAUAGGCUCCAGCACGCCCGCGACCCUAGUGAGGAGAAGCGGCUCAGAAAAUGGAUGGAUGGAUGUACCUCAAAAGUUAUUGAUUUAUUGCCAAUAUACCUUACACGAAUCAAUAUGAUGAUGUUGAUGAUGAUAAAAAUGUGUUGACCAUCAUAAUUGACCACCCCAAAUUAUUACUAACACUCAUUUAAAAACCCUUGAUGUGUGCUUUCUAGCUCAGUAACCAUUUUUGUGCAAACAACUGUGCGUCUUCACACAUCAAGCGACAGGAAUGCACUUGUGGUUGAAGUUACAUUGAAUCCUUUUCAUAUUUCUGAAAAACUUAAUAUUCACUAAUUUUAUAUGAACUAUAAAAUGAUUUUUAUUAUCUCUACAUAAAGCUGUGAUGGCAGAUGUGGCUGUGAGGACAACUCCUGACAUGGUGGUCCGCUGCGGGGACAAUGUAACACUGACAUGCAAUGCCACCUCGGACGAGUUAUUGGAUGUUAAAUUAUUUUCUUGGAUUAGUCCCAACAAAACGUUAUUUGACUCUAAGAUCAAGAACAAUGAUUCUGCAGUUGUGUGUCUGAACAAAACGGAUAAUUCCCACCAUAAGCUCACUCUGACACUCUUAAACAUAAUGCCCAUCCACCAAGGACAGUACAUCUGCAAAUUUCGUGGACAAGUGGGAAUAAAUUCCAGCACCACUAAUAUUACCGUACAAGACUGCCUUGGAAAUCAGAACUACUUCAUUAAUGAGUCUAUUGCAGAGUGCUGGUUCCAUGGAGUUUCCAGCCCUGGUAAAAUCCAGUGGUUCAAGGGAGAUGACCGGUUAACGGACUCAAUAAGAUCAAAUGAAAAAGUUGACCAAUAUGGCCGCUACAAUAUCACAAGUACAAUAAAAGCACCAAGAGGAAACCAAAUUUAUAACUGCUCAUUAUGGAUACUCGGGAAAUAUGUCUCCAGUCAAAAGGUAGUCAUGGUUAAAGAGUCAAAAAAUGCAUCCGAAAGUAAAUACAAACUCCAGUGGAUCUGUCUGAUGUUACAUGCCAUAGUGGUGACAUUUAUCAUGUAACAAACCAAACAAGUUUGAAUUUACUGGUGAGUGUUAUAGUUGUCCAUCCAUCCAUCCAUUUUCUACCGCUUAUCGUGUCGCGGGGGCAGUAGCUUUAGCAGGGACGCCCAGACUUCCCUCUCCCCAGCCACUUCAUCCAGCUCUUCCGGGGGGAUCACGAGGCGUUCCCAGGCCAGCCGAAGGAUGUAGUCUCUCCAGCGUGUCCUGGGUCGUCCCCGGGGUCUCCUCCCGGUGGGACGUGCCCGGAACACCUUGCCAGGGAGGCAUCCGGGAGGCAUCCGAAUCAGAUGCCCCAGCCACCUCAUCUGGCUCCUCUCGAUGUGGAGGAGCAGCGGCUCUACUCUGAGAUCCUCCCGGAUGACCGAGCUUCUCACACUAUCUCUAAGGGAGAGCCCGGACACCCUGCGGAGGAAACUCAUUUCGGCCGCUUGUAUCUUGUUCUUUCGGUCACGACCCACAGCUUGUGAUCAUAGGUGAGGGUAGGAACGAAUUGGAGGUGCUGAUUCUCAUUCCAGCCACUUCACACUCGGCUGCGAACUGUUCCAGUGAGAGUUGGAGAUCACGGCCUGAUGAAGCCAACAGAACCACAUCAUCUGCAAAAAUCAGAGAUGCAAUAGUGAGGCCAUCAAUCCGGACCCCUCCACGCCUCGACUGCACCUUGAAAUUCUGUCCAUAAAAGUUAUGAACAGAAUCGGUGACAAAGGGCAGCCUUGGCGGAGUCCAACCCUCACCGGAAACAAGUCAGACUUACUGCCGGAUAUGCGGACCAAACUCUGACUCCGGUCGUACAGGGACCGAACAUCCCGUAUUAGGGGGUUUGGUACCCUAUACUAGGCGGCACGGUGGCCUGACUGGUUAGAGCGUCAGCCUCACAGUUCUGAGGACCCGGGUUCAAUCCCAGGCCCCGCCUGUGUGGAGUUUGCAUGUUCUCCCCGUGCCUGCGUGGGUUUUCUCCGGGCACUCCGGUUUCCUCCCACAUCCCAAAAACAUGCAUUAAUUGGAGACUCUAAAUUGCCCGUAGGCAUGACUGUGAGUGCGAAUGGUUGUUUGUUCCUAUGUGCCCUGUGAUUGGCUGGCAACCAGUUCAGGGUGUACCCCACCUCCUGCCCGAUGACAGCUGGGAUAGGCUCCAGCACGCCCGCGACCCUAGUGAGGAGAAGUGGCUCAGAAAAUGGAUGGAUGGAUGGUACCCCAUACUCCCGAAGCACCCUCCACAGGACUCCCCGAGGGACACGGUCGAACGCCUUCUCCAAGUCCACAAAACACAUGUAGACUGGUUGGGCGAACUCCCAUGCACCCUCGAGGACCCUGCCUCGGGUGUAGAGCUGAUCCACUGUUCCACGGCCAGGACGAAAACCACACUGCUCCUCCUCAAUCUGAGAUUUGACUUCCCGACGGACCCUCUUCUCCAGCACCCCUGAAUAGACCUUACCAGGGAGGCUGAGGAGUGUGAUCCCCCUGUAGUUGGAACACACCCUCCGGCCCCCUUCUUAAAAAGGGGGACUACCACCCCAGUCUGCCAAUCCAGAGGCACUGUCCCCGAUGUCCACGUGUUGCCCCAUCCCCACUAUACAUAGUCUUGAUGGUGCACUACUUUCCCCUCCUGAGACGCCGGAUGGUGGACCAGAAUUUCCUCGAAGCCAUCCGGAAGUCUGUACAUUAAUCCGCAUUAAAAAAUAAAAUAAAAUAAAAAAAAUUAAAAAUCUGCAUUCUUUAAAAAUUACAGUACAACAAGAUAAAGGGAAAUGGUUCAAAGUAUUUGUCCAAUAGUUGAAAAAGGAACCUAAUUAUGCACUUAAAAAUGUUGAACAUAUGGUGAAUGAAUAUUGAGGAUGUCUGAAUCUGAUAAAUUAAUUGGAAUUAUGUUAUAACACAAAUAAAAAGGUGUGUCUGUAUUUUGUACAAAGUGCAAAACCUAUCUGCAUGAUUUUCUGAUUGACUGAUUUUACUUUUGAUGAUAACCACGAAGGCUGCCCAUAUUCUGCAAUGUUAACACGAAAUAUUGUAUAAUAAUAAUAAUAAUAAUAGUAGUAAUUAUUAUUAUUAUUAUUAUUAUUAUUAUUGUUGUUGUUGUUGUUGAGAUUUAUAGUCUAAAAAUAGUGCAUUAUGAAAGAAAAAUGUUAUUAUUGUUUUUAAAAAGUGAUUUUUGUGUGUGAUUUGGCCAUCAAUAUAUGCAAAUAUAUACACAAGAAAACAUUUUCAUUAACUGCUAUUGUUUAUCUGUAUUUGAACAAUAUCUCAUAAUGUUCUUUUAUCUAUGCUGUAUGUAAAAAUUGCAACAAAUACAGUACACUAAAAUACAAGCGUACUUAAAAGGUUAAGAGGUUUUCAUUUGUGAUACACAUUAAUGUCUUUUAUUUUUGAAAUGUUUGUGUGUUAAUGCAAAAAGAAAAUAAAACUUAAAAACAGCAA